AAUUCUAGAAGCUAAAGGUCAUCUGUUACUGGGUAGCAGAAGGCUUAAUAAAUAUCAGGUCCUCUUAUUAGACACUUCCAAUUUAACUCUCUAAGUGUAUCAUACUCUCCACCCUGCUAAACUACUUCCUGACACCACAUAGUCCAGGGACAUUAUUACUGAGAAGAAACUUUGACUGAGUCUAUUUACCUGAGUUGAGGGAAACUCCUCUCAACAAUCCAGAUGGUGAAUUUUACUGAUGGGUCCAGUUUUUUGAAGAUGGGGAUAGAAAGGAUUCACACAGUACAAAGUUCAACCUUCACCAAGGUGGUAUUGGCAAAGAAACAGGCAACACCAUUAAAGUCAAGAAGUGAUCAUCUAGGGCAACCACUUGUCUAAGACCAUGUUGAUCAGAAAGUCCAGGGAUUCCUGGAAUUCUUAGAGAAAGUGACCUAUUUUCUUAGUCAUUUGGAAAUCCUUGACAUCCAGCAUUGGGAGAAGAAAUAGAAUAUUUCCCAAGGACUUGGUCAAGGUGUGGCAGAAAAACCUGUACCAGCAGGCCAAGUCAGUGGUACUUCCAGGUCACUGGAUUGCACCUUGGGCUCCAGCAUUGAGCAGCUGUCCUGCAUCAAAGGCCAGGAUAUCAUUCGUAUUGGGUCAGUGACACAGAAGGAGGAUCUUGUGGACCCGUUAUGGGUCAGAAAUUUGCCUGGGCGGUACCUCACAUGACACUGGCAGUGCCUAUUAUAAUGGUUGGGCAAUUACUUCUUGUUCUCCCUCAGGAUCAUCAAGAAGUCACCUCGGUUUUUCCUGUCAAAUCAGUCAGUGCUCCUCCCAAAAGGAGCUGCCAAAUCCAGCCUGUCUUGUCCCUGGAAAACAAGAUCCUCCUAAGAUUGUCCCCAAUGAUUCCACCCAAAGGCCCCAGGGAGGACGUUCCAAACAUUUGAUAUUCCAAACAUCAAACACCAUUUUAGUUUUUUUUUUUUUUUUUAAACAAAUUUUCUUGUGGAGGAUUCUGGGAGGAUGGUAGAUUGGUAAAUUUCACUCUCUGGAUUUCCCCCACGAAUUGAACAAAUUUGUGCCUCAGGGCAAAUAUAGAUUGAUUAAAAACAAAAGACUUGUCACAGAACCGGGUCCUUCAGAUACAAUCCAAGAAGUUCUGAAGAAAGCCAUUGGACUGGACAUUAACCUGUCUGAAGGGCAAACACCUUUAGGCUCAUCCAUAGAACCAAGUAGUGGAGACCCUUCAAGCUAUCUAGGUGGUUGAAGCCUCAGCAGGAACCACAGAGACUUUUAUCUCCCAAAUUAUUUGUCAAGUUGAGGUCUGAGUCCCAGAGGCCUGAGUGAACCUGGACUGAUAAGGAUCACCAAGUCCAGCUAUGGCACUGAGAACCUGAGAAUGAGGCUCUGGCAAGAAGGGACCAGCACCCUGUGAGUGUGGAAGCAGCGGGACAGGGACCUGCUGGCUGAGGGUUCUUGCAGGAGGGUGGAGUUCUUGGUUGAGGUUCCUGGUCAGAGGGUAGGGAAGUUUGAAAUACCAUUCCCCCCAAACAGACCUUGAUUAGAGGUACUUACCCUAAUACUUAUUUUAAAAAAUUAAUCUGCAAAGAACCCCCCAUCAUCAAAACAUAUUAUAGGAAUAGGGAAUAGGGAAGAUCUGGGUUCCCCUUCAGAGGGGAAAUACACUUUAAUAAAAAAGCUGCUACCCCAAAGAGUAAUAUGAAAUAGCUCCCUGCCCAAAGAAUUCAUAGAACUCAAAAAAUUUAAAAACCAAAUGAGAGACAAUGAGGAAAAACUAAAGAAAAAAUAAACAAAACCCGGAAAAUUAUGAAAACACAGAUAACUAACUUGCAAAGGAGGUAGUGUCUGGAAGAUAAAAAAAAAUCCUUUGAAAAUGAAAAUUGGGUAAGAGGAAGCCGGGGAAGCUAUGAUGAACCAAGAAAUAAAACAAAUUGUAAAGACUGAAAAAAUAUGGUAAAAUGUGAAACAUAAAAGGACAGAUCAUACUAAGAAGAGAAAAUAUAAGAAUUGGACUGCCUGAAAAUUGUGACCAAAAAAGAAGCUUGACACAAUAAUGCAAGAAAUAAUUCAGGAAAAUUGUCCUAGAGUGAUACAUUGUGAGAGGAAAGUAGAAAUAGAAAAAAUUCCCCAAUUACCACCACAAUGAAAUCUUUUGUGGAACAUAUAUAGGAAUAUUAGUACCAAAUUUUGAAAUCCCCAGAUCAAAGAAAUAGUUUUUUAAAUUACAAUAAAAAAAUUCAAAUUCACUGCAGCUACAAAUACACUGCAGCUUUUACAAGACAUAUCAAGAGCCACAGUAAAAGACUGGAAAUAUAUCUACCAACAAUCAAAACUGGGCCUGUGCCAAAAAUAUCAUAACCAACUAAAAUUAUAAUUUUGAAUGUGAAAAGACAUUCAAUGAACUUGCAGAUUUUCAGGACUUUCAACCAAACCUGAAGCUAACUGAAAAUUUAACAUCGCAAAGCUAAUAAAAUAACUCAUUUUAAGGAAUUAAACAUGAACAAACUUUAACAUGGACAAAUUGUUUACAUAUUUGUUUUACAUAGGAAAUAUAUAUUUAAGAUAUCAACAAUAAGGUAUACCACUUGAAAGAUUGGCAGAAAUGAUGUAAAAAUAUUACAUUAUACAUACGAGGUACAGAGGAAGAAUUAAGACACACAGGCAUAUUAGGGAAGACAUGGGCUCGCUCACACUUUUGAAAUCCUAUUCUCUUGGGCAAUGGGUUUAAUGGACAACACUACAUAUAUACUGUGAAGGGUAUAACACCCUGCAAAAUCUAUAAAGAAAUAAGGGGUGAAGAAUAGGUAGUAAUAGAAGUAAUAGUAAGACAAUUUAAGGACCAGAAUUAAAGCAAAAAUUAGCAGGCAUAUAAAAAAUGUGGGUGGAAUGUAUGUGUAUAAUCUACAUAUGUAUACAUAUAUCUUUAACUGAAGCCUGCUCUGGGGGUGGGAGUGGGGGAAGAAAACAGGGAAAAGGAAUAAAGGAAAAAAGUAUAGAGCAGAAAAUUGACAAGAAGUAAAAAGAUGGACAAUCAUGUAUAUACUUGUACUAAUAUACUUUUUUGAA